rnacentral:rRNA from 1 species
AACUUCCUCGGAUAACUGUGGAAAAUCCAGAGCUAAUACGUGCAACUGAGCUCCGACCUGGACGUGAGUCUUGGAAAGAGCGCAUUUAUUAGAUUCAAAACUGACCGGCGUACUCCUUCGGGAUGGGCCGUUUGUCAAAAGAUUGAUGACUCCGGAUAACUUAGCCGAGCGCUACGGUCCUUGUACCGGCGCCGUAUCUUUCAAGUGUCUGCCUUAUCAGCUUUCGAUUGUAGGUUAAACGCCUACAAUGGCUGUAACGGGUAACGGGGAAUCAGGGUUCGAUUCCGGAGAGGGAGCCUGAGAAACGGCUACCACAUCUAAGGAAGGCAGCAGGCACGCAAAUUACCCACUCCCAGCCCGGGGAGGUAGUGACGAAAAAUAACGAUGCGAGACUCUUCCGAGGCCUCGCAAUCGGAAUGAGUCCAUUUUAAAUCCUUGGACGAGGAUCCCUUGGAGGGCAAGUCUGGUGCCCACCGCGGAAUUCCAGCUCCAUACGAUAUUAAAGUUGCUGCGGUUAAAAAGCUCGUAGUUGGACUUCCUAGAUCCAUUUCGCGAGCGGGUCGCUCGUAAGCUAGCGUUUCGCGCCAGUCACUCUAACGAAGCUCUCGAACGUCGGUGCGUUAGCGAGUUUUUUUCGCAGGCGAGUUCGGCUUUCGGGUCGGGUUCCGUCUCGCAUUAAUCUCUCGCGCGCGUCGUUACGCCCGGGAUCGCCGAGUGGGGCGGACGGCGAAGCGUUGUCUUCGAGUAUCGCUCGUUCGCGUUUGGUACAAUUAAAAUUUUGUCGGCUCGCUCGGAGUGCUCUUUACCGAGUGUUCCAGGGUGGCCGACACGUUCACUUUGAAAAAAUUAGAGUGCUUAAAGCGGGCUUAUACGCGGCCUGAAUGUCUGUGCAUGGAAUGAAGUAACAGGACCUCGAUUCUGUUGUUUUUUGUCGGUUUUAUUGAACCGAGGUAAUGAUUAAAAGGGACAGACGGUGGCAUUAGUAUUGCGGCGCUAGAGGUGAAAUUCUUGGACCGCUGCAAGACUAACUACUGCGAAAGCAUUUGCCGAGAAUGUUUUCAUUAAUCAAGAACGAAAGUUAGAGGAUCGAAGGCGAUCAGAUACCGCCCUAGUUCUAACCCUAAACUAUGCUAACUAGCGAUCCGCCGGAGUCAUUCCCACGACCCGGCGGGAAGCCCCAGGGAAACCAAAGUCUUUGAGUUCCGGGGGAAGUAUGGUUGCAAAGCUGAAACUUAAAGGAAUUGACGGAAGGGCACCACCAGGAGUGGAGCCUGCGGCUUAAUUUGACUCAACACGGGAAACCUCACCAGGCCCGGACAUCAUAAGGAUGACAGGUUGAGAGCUCUUUCUCGAUUUGAUGGGUGGUGGUGCAUGGCCGUUCUUAGUUGGUGGAGUGAUCUGUCUGGUUGAUUCCGAUAACGAACGAGACUCUACCCUACUAACUAGUCGGCGGAUCGUAACCCUGAGAUGGUUAGUUUGUUGGAUGGCGGUUGGUCGAGACGUACGUUUAGCGCUGGCGUUUCCUCGGGUGCGAGUCGCGUGUGGGUCGUGCUUCGGUGCGAUUUCGCGCGCGGCCGCUCGGGCGUUGCGCUUGUCGCGGCCUCGUCGAAGCUACCGUCUGAUUACUGCUACUGCUGGGGGCGUCCGUCGCAAUGUAUCUUCUUAGAGGGAUCAGCGGCGUAUAGCCGCACGAGAAAGAGCAAUAACAGGUCUGUGAUGCCCUUAGAUGUUCUGGGCCGCACGCGCGCUACAAUGUAGAGACCAGCGUGCUUUCCCCCUCCGAAAGGAGCGGGUAACCCGUUGAAACCCCUACCCGAUUGGGAUUGGGGAUUGCAAAUAUUUCCCAUAAACGAGGAAUUCCCAGUAAGCGCGAAUCAUUAGUUCGCGCUGAUUACGUCCCUGCCCUUUGUACACACCGCCCGUCGCUACUACCGAUUGAAUGAUUCAGUGAGGGCAUCGGACUGGCGCCUUCGGUUUAGUAACCUAGACCUUAGGCUGACGGAAAGAUGUCCGAACUUGAUCAUUAGAGGAAGUAAAAGU